AAAUUUUCAUGAUCCCUACCCCCAAAUUCAUAUUCCCGCUUGUUUCUCCCCAAAACCUCUUUUGAGGCCGCAUCCAUCUGUUUACCUGUGCAUCGCAUCCAUCUGCCAUCAAAACACCACCACUAUUCUGCCACAACUGCUUCUCAACGUCGUCUGCGUCGACCCAAAUCGAAGUGUAGUCUCCAUCCCGUUCCCUAAGUUUCUCAAUUUUGUGCCCUAAUUCCCUAAAAAAAAAUUCUCACAACGAACCCCAACGUAGGCCACUCGCAUUACGACACUGCUAAGUAACCAGGUAACCAAUUUGUUGUUGAUUUGUCAGUCACUUAAACAAGAUGGAACCUCCUGUCAUUACUGUACAUUGUUGAAGUUGUAAUUUUCCUAGGGUUCUUAGUUGAUGCAUCCGUGUAUCAACGCUUGUGAAUUGAAAUUGAAGUUUGUUUAAUUCAAUUUUCUGUUACGUUUGGCUAGUAUUUAUGUCUAAUUCAAAGUCAGUUUACAUUUUCUUCUAUAUUAAAAUCUAAUACCAUUAUGGUAGUGUUGCUUUUGUGCUUACUGAUGCUAGUUUUUUGCUCUUGACCAAGUUAAGAUUGAUAUUUGACACUUCUGCUUAACCAUGUUUGGACUGCCGCUGGUUGGCCAUGUUUAAACUAAUAUUUUAUAUUCCUGUAGUUACUUGACUAGGUUUAGGCUGCUGUUGUUUGACCACGUUUAGAUUGUUAAGUUAUUUUAAAUUGUUUAGUCUGCUGUGCUCCUUUGAUGAUGCACUCAUAAUGUAGUUAGAAAUGAUCUUAACUACAUAUAUUUAUAACUUGACUAUCCUGGGGGGAAUUAAUCUUAUAUAGUUAUGACUCUGCUAUUUUUUUAAUAUUCUAGUAACUACAUAUAUUGGAUGACUUUUAGGGAUAGAAAUGCAUCACUUUAAAUCUGACAUGUGAGAAGUUAAGUUAUUUUAGGCGAUUUGUUUACUUUUCUUCCAUGGUCGACUUAUAUUCUAGUUACACGAUUCCUUUUCUCAAUCAGGCUCAUGCCUUUGAUGGUGACAAUCUCGAUGAUGUAUGGAAAUUGCAUGUCUAAACUUCUUGUUUCUUAUUUGUGGUUAUUGUUUCUAGUUUUUUUUUUUUUUCAAAUUCCUAAGAUUAAUUAGAAUUGUGACCUAUCUUGUUUCUCUAGUUAUAAUAUACAAAUAAGAGUAAUUGUUAGAAUUGUUUUGCUUGAAUUAAGAUGUUUCAUGUUUGCAUAAAGAAUAAAGCAUUAGUGUUAUAUAAUCAUUUUCUUUGUUUUUUGUGCCACUGUUGGAUUGCACAAAAAUAUAUAAGUAGGGGUGCAAACGAGCCGAGCGGCUCGCGAGCUAUUGGAGACCGAGAAGCUUGAAACGAGCCGAGCCUUGUUGAGCCCGUGCCGAGCUUGAGCCUAAAACAAAGAACGUUUAUUAAUUGAGCUCUCUAGCGUGGCAUGUAAAGCUCGUCAGACUCAUUCAGCCUUAGUGUAAUAUAAGUUUUAUUUUGUUAAUAUUUAAUACCAUUUAUCCCUUAUUUAAAGUUCUUUAGUAAACAAGCUGAGCCGAGCUAAUUUAAAAUUGUUUAUGAGCCGAGCCCGAGCUUCACUUAUUGAUCUCGCGAGUCUAAACAAGUUUAUUUAUAUUAACUUUCUUUAAUAUAUUAAUUAUAAAUUAAUAGAUAAUAGAGUAGCCGAGCCCGAGCCAAGCUCGAGCUUGAGAAACUACCAUCGAGCCAAGCUUGAGCUUUGGAAACCAAGCUUGAACCUUGCUCGAGCUCCAACUCUCAUAAGUAUAUUGGUCUCGUGAACCACCUAGUCUUCGAAAAUGUUCUUUACCAUGUUGGUGAGUUUUCCAAGUUCUUAUCCUACAUUUUAUAGGUGUCAGUUUUGGCCCCUUCAGCUGUAAAUGGGUUGAUUUGGCUUAUGUUUAAUCUCUAACGGGUCAAAUGGGUUGAAAGUUGUUGGUAAGUGUAUUGAAAUACAUAGAAACUUCAUCCUAUAUGUUAUAACAAUGUAGUUUUUGUUGUGGGUUGGUACAACCUCACCUGAUCCCUCAUGCCCACACUUGAAUAGUAUACAUUUUCGACACAUUCAACCAUCAUACGUGUUGAUUUGGUUUAUUGUUUAAUAAUAUAUAUAUUUUUUAUAAUCAUACUUGACACAUUAAAAUAUUAAAUAUUUGUUAUAAAAAUGGAUAAUAAACUGUUGUAGCCUUAUUCCUGUUAGUCACUUGGAAAAUGCACAUUUUGACACAAACUUAACAUCCAAUCUGUAUGCCUAUUCGACCAUUUUUAAAUUGCUUGCUUUAUGCUAGCAUCACUUCAAGAACUUUGGAAGCUUUAAUACGGCACUUGGUUUUACCAAUAUGAGUUGAAGUGCUUAGUGGGAAAUUUGAAGAGAUGCAUGAGCUAAAUAAUGAAAAAGACAGGAAAGAAUUCUACGCCCUACAUUGCAUUGUAUGGUGUAUUUGAUGACCAAUCUGCUGUAAUAGAUAUACUGGAGAGUACCGUUUUCAUGCCAAGUUCAUCAUAAACUUUAAACUAUAGGCAAAAUGACAAUGAGAGUCCUUCAACAUCUCGUUUGUUUAUUUUGUUUUUUUACUAGUUCAUAUUUGGAAUUUGGGAUUUUUUUUUGCAACUUAAAAAAAUUGGAAUUUUUUAAACAUCGAUUAGACUAUAUAUAUUGGGAAAGUACUUACUUCAUUAGUGCGUAUCUGACCUUGUUUCCACAUCACAAGAUAAGAGCUCUCACACACAAACGCAAGCUUUUAAGUCUAAAUAGCUUUGUUCUGGAUUUCUAAUUUUUUUCUUCCCAUUCAGUACUUAUCUUUGCACAUUUGUAUUCGUCUACAUAUAUGGCCCGAAUAUACUAUUCAAAAUGUUAAAAGGAUAAUCUAAAACCAAUAUUCGAUUAAGAGAAACUACAUUAUAUAUUUCUGCCACAAGCAUAUAAGAGUGUUAUUUAUAGAUUUCCAAGAGUUACAGUUCCAUGAUGGGAUAUUGAUGUCAAGAAUUUGGCCUGUAUAAUGUUCUUAAAAGUGCAGUUUGAUACUUGAUAUCGUCUACUUUAUAGUAGAGGUACAUUGAUAAAAAAAAAGUAUAUGCUGCUUGCACAUCAUACAUAAUUCAGGAGGGGCUGACGGGUUCAUUUAAGAAAACGUCGAAGUUGGGAAGAACCAAUUGCUGGAAAUGAGACAUGGGAUUGAAGAGGAUCAUGAAAAAAAGUCGAGCUCGAAGCUAUGUGAAGAUAUUGACAACUGGCGACAAAACUUGGAAGCGCUAUGAUGUGGAAGGUUACGAAACAUCUGUCUGUUAGAGAUCCAUAUGACUAGAAUGUUUUCAUUUUUGUAUUAUGGUAAUUGACGCGUCAUGUUAUUGUUAUUUGGGUUUGGACACAGAUUUUAAAUUACAUCAUUUGACUAUCAAUGAUAUCAGUGUUAUUCGUGUUUU